rnacentral:rRNA from 1 species
UACGUAGGGGGCAAGCGUUGUCCGGAAUCAUUGGGCGUAAAGAGCGUGUAGGCGGCUUGGUAAGUCCGCUGUGAAAGUCCAGGGCUCAACCCUGGAAUGCCGGUGGAAACUGUCAAGCUUGAGUCCGGAAGAGGCGAGUGGAAUUCCUGGUGUAGCGGUGAAAUGCGCAGAUAUCGGAAGGAACGCCGGUGGCGAAAGCGGCGUGCUGGACCUCUUCUGACGCUGAGGCGCGAAAGCCAGGGGAGCAAACGGG